CAGGCGUCCGCGUGUUCGCCCCCACCCGCCUGCAGCGGCUGGGAACUGCGGGGAACGAUCCGCUUUGAUACAACCAAAAUAUCACCGGGAUCUGUCGAUCCUCUUCGACCGCUUUCAUGCCACUUUUCUACCUAAGAAUCGAAGAAUUGUCCGGCCCCAACUACGGCCGGUGUACCUACCAUAGGUGACGGUAAUGCGGGUAGCGAAUCGACGGAAACUUCCAGCGAUGCCGAUGAUAUCAUCCCUGUUUCAAUCUAAACCUAUCCUGAAAACUUUACGGCUGGCAUUAUGGAUUUUCAUAUCGGUGACAGUCUUGUGGAAAAAUGAUGAUGCAGUAGGAUCAGAAAAAAAAAACUUUGACAUCAACGACGAGGUAGUCAGGUAUACCUGUAAGGGCUAAAGAUUCAUGUGUCAGGAAUUCAAUAAGUGAAAUAAAUAGACUGAAGCACA